GAGGAGUCGUGUCCGUACGCCCCGCCGCCCCACCCCUCUGUCCUCCUCGGCGGGACACGGGGACGCCGAGUGUUCCACAUCAUGAGGCUGUUUGCACUCGCUGGCUGUUCCACACAAAGGUUACGGCAAGGCGCGCCAAGCUUAUGUCAAGAAAAAAUGACAGCGAUCUUUGUGUGCAAAACGGGAGAACUUCACCGUAUCAAGCAGCAAAUCUGGCCGUGAGGAAUGAAUUCGUCGUGGCUCUCUCUCCCUUUUCUCUUCCCUACCUCCACACUCCCUAGAAAAACACAGGAACUGUUUUGUAUACACCAUGAACAUAUUUAUGAGAACAGCCAUUAAAUUAUCCCCAAACUCUGUCCUUGAGUUUCCACUGGAAGUUCUUCAGCUUCAGAAGGAGGGAGCAAUUUAUCACGUGCUUGUAAAGCAGCCAGCUCACUCCUGCCCCUGGGCAGAUCCUGGCACAACAGUUGUUUAAGGAGCAGUAAGUAGUUCACUGAGUAACAUAGAAAAUGCUUCCAUUUCUGAAACAAACAGAACAAUUUGGAGCCAUUUUUGUGGUAUCACAUGAACUCAAUAGUAAUUGACUUACUUGCCUAGGUCUGGGGUCAUUUUUAGAAGUAAAUACCCACAGGGACUGCCAGUGCAGCUUAUGAGACUCGCAGCUGUAUUAAUGCAGGUAGCAGUGUCAGUCAUCACUUGUGCAAGUGUAUGAUGGACGCUGUGCCCAGAAUUCUCAUGGUCACAGGGUCUGUCCUGGCAUCAGGUCUCACUACAGACUUUGGAAGACAAACAAACAAACAAACAAACAAAAAACACUUGAGAGAGGCCCACUAUACCAAGCAGUGACUCCUGGUACACAAGCAAAGGGGACUUUGGUACAAAUGCCAUGCUCAAACUCAUGGUCACUUCCAGGCAGGCCCACAACUACAAGGCCACAAGUGUUUAAAUUAGGAUCUUCUGGGCUACUAUUGCUGGAAUACAAACUUUAAACUUGGCAUUGUGUUAGCAGUAAGCAGUCUUCUAUAUUGAAAUACCGUGUGUACCCUGAAGAAAACUGUAGGCCAUAGAGGACCUCAUGUAGUAUGUGUAAAAUGCAGAAAAACAUGGGUACAUUAUCUUUUUCAGUGCAGUAUCUACAGUUCACAUACUGCUUUGCAGAAUGUCAAAAAAGUGGUUUUCACAUGGAGCUGAAACAGUGAAUACAUGAAGAUAUAAAUGGUGAUGUUUUUUUUUUCCACUUUAUUUUUCUAUUUCCUCUAUUGUUUGCCUUAAUUUGAAUGAAUACAUAGCUGUAUAAAUGUAAGUAUAGAUUUUCUUUAUGUAUAAAC
ensembl:lncRNA